CCCUUAGAUGUCCUGGGCUGCACGCGCGCUACACUGAUGUGUCCAGUAAGCACCUCACCUCUUCCGAAAGGAACGGGUAACCUUUGCAAAGCACAUCGUGAUGGGGAUAGAUUAUUGCAAUUAUUAGUCUUGAACGAGGAAUUCCUAGUAAGCACAAGUCAUCAGCUUGUGUUGAUUACGUCCCUGCCCUUUGUACACACCGCCCGUCGCUCCUACCGAUUGAAUGUUCCGGUGAGCUCUUCGGACUGCGCGGUCUGCAGUUUCUGCGUUCCGUGCGGAAAGUUGCGCAAACCUUAACAUUUAGAGGAAGGAGAAGUCGUAACA
rnacentral:rRNA from 1 species